rnacentral:rRNA from 1 species
AAUGGGCGCAAGCCCGAUCUAGCGAUGCCGCGUGAGCGAUGAAGGCCUUAGGGUCGUAAAACUCUUUCACCAGGGAUGAUAAUGACAGUACCUGGAAAAGAAACCCCGGCUAACUCCGUGCCAGCAGCCGCGGUAAUACGGAGGGGGUUAGCGUUGUUCGGAAUUACUGGGCGUAAAGCGUACGUAGGCGGACUAGUAAGUUAGGGGUGAAAUCCCGGGGCUCAACCCCGGAACUGCCUUUAAUACUGCUAGUCUUGAGUUCGAGAGAGGUGAGUGGAAUUCCGAGUGUAGAGGUGAAAUUCGUAGAUAUUCGGAGGAACACCAGUGGCGAAGGCGGCUCACUGGCUCGAUACUGACGCUGAGGUACGAAAGUGUGGGGAGCAAACAGGAUU